GUGAAUAAUAUAGUCAUAUUUUUGCGAGUAUGUUUUACUAUCGUAUUAAACAAUUUGUAAGAACUUCCUUUGAAUUAGUUGUAAGUGUUGCUGUCCACCUAUAGCAGUUCAUUAAAAAUUCUAACUAAAUUACAAUUAAUUACAUCAAACAAACUGUUAGACUGGUCAGAAAUCUUAAAACAAAUGCUAUUGAAGAUCCUAAAAUCAAGUCACAUAAGUGCAAGGUGAUAAAAUAAGCCUACCGGUACUAACAAUCCAUUAUGAUUUGAAUUCUAUUUCAAGACUAUUUUGAAUGUUUUGCAUAAAUAUUCUAUACAUAUUAUGUAUUGAGUCUUUUGAAAGGUGACUGUGGUUAUUCUUCAAUUGGUCUAACAAUUUCCACACUAAAUUUGACACUUUUCCCUUUAAAAAGUUACUAACAUAUUUAUUAGAAUUAGACAACAAUUUGAAGUUAAACAUGUAAAAUUCUUUUGAAGUUACAAUAUGUUGUUUAUAUGUUUCCAAGGGGAGAUAAUAUAUUUUUUUGUGUGUAUGAAAUAUACAAAUUGUAUUAUUGAUCAGCUUAAUCCAUGUGCAAAUGUACAUGUACUUAUAAGUACAGAAAAGAGAUGCAAGAAAAUAUCUAUAACUCAGAACUUGACAACGAAAGUAAACCAAGGGCAUUUAACAGUCCUGAUUAUUAAUGUGUAAGUGUCACACCGUAUAAUAAACCUUACAAAAAUGGACUUGGGCCAAUUUAGAGCUCAACAUCUGCUACAGGCACAUGUGAUAUUGUUCACAAUAUGUUGACCUCUGAAUUGGUCAAGACCAUUAAAUCCAGCAUCCAUAAAAAAAUAUAUUUUUCUGAAUUGGUACCCACCAAGAUAAACUAUACAGCAAGUAUUUAUAAAUAUAAUUCAUGUGUCCUUUUAUAAAAAUGUGUUAGAAGUAGGGAAUAGUCAGUGAUAUAUAACAACAGCCCACAGCUAGUUCAAUAUAUGUUUGUAAAAAAAAAAUGACAAUUUUAAGUAAGAUGUGAUACUAAUUAUUAUUAAAUUAUUUUGUGUCAAGUUGUAUAUAAUCAUAAUUAAUUAUUUAUUCUUUUUUUUUCUUCUCGAAAAUGAUGAUUUUUCUUAAAAGCUUGUUUACUUUUUACAUGGUAUAUUAGAUUUAUAAUAUAAACUUCUCGCAUUUUAACACAAACAAAU
rnacentral:lncRNA from 1 species